GCCACGUACACUUUCACUAGAAUUCAGUGGAUGCUCGAGAUGGUCUCAGGUAAAGUUUUAACCCUGAAAGAGUUCUGGAAGGAAGAUUACUACAUACUUUCCUGUAUGACAUUAAUUGAGAAAUCCUGGGCCAAUGUCUGUCUGAGGAAACGUAGAUCUGCCUGUUCACAGGAUAGAGACUUUGAAGACUGUGUAGAGGAGCUUUCAAUUGACCAACUUGAGUUACAACCAGCCCUUGGAAAUCAAUUGACAGUCUAGCAGCUUUCUUUCAGGGUGUUCCGGUUCCUGCCCACAGCACGGUGAGAUCUCGGGAGUGGCUUGGAGCCCCACCUUCAUACGGUGCUCCUCUACGUGGGUCAGCCAAUCAGUGUGAAGCUCCUCGGCUGUGUUCCAUUUCCUGCCCAUGGCACGGUAUCUCCCCAUUAAUGGUGAAAUCUUGGAAACAGCCCAGUUGCCCAUCAACAGAUGAAUGAAGAAAAUAUGGUUUUUAUAUACAAUGGAGUACUACACUUAUAAAGAACGAUACACUUGAGACAUUUUAAAGUAAAUGGAUGCACCUCGAGAACAUAAGUGAAAUAAGUUGGAC
rnacentral:lncRNA from 1 species